UAUCACAUUGAAAACCGGUUUCCGUAUGAUCACAGAAGUUAAGCAAUGUCGAGCCUGUUCGGUAACUAGAUGGGUGUCCGCUUGGGAAUACCAAAUGAUGUAAG